rnacentral:rRNA from 1 species
UACAAACUAUUUGCAUUUGUCUUGCCUUCUGUCUGAAUCAUGUUUAUAACAAAUGUUAAAACUUUCAACAACGGAUCUCUUGGUUCUCGCAUCGAUGAAGAACGCAGCGAAAUGCGAUAA